CAGUGACGCUCAAGCUCGCGCGCUUACCGAUCGCCCGGCCGCGAUAAGGAAUGUUUCUUUUUUUAUCGCCGUGUCUUUUUCUUUCCGCGUUACCGGCCUCCCCACGGGAUUACUUCGGCUUUAUUGCUUUUAAUUACUUGACACGGGUUGGAAACCGCGCGCGCAGAACCCGCGGCAAUCGCCAAGGAGGUGUUGAUGCUUGGCUGGAUACGCCUGGGGCGGCGCGCUGCCGGCAACCUGCGGCUCACUUUUCUUAGACACCGCCACGAUGUCGGAAUAACUUUUCAAUUUAUUUCAUUAAGAUUCUACUUUUGCUUCGCCCGCGACACCGCCGAACGCCAGCUCGAUCCUUCGAGCGCGUCGAUCUCCCGUCGCGGUUCCUUCGGAAACGUUCUUUGGAAAUGUCCGGCUACGCGGUACAGGCUCUCGUUGGCGGGCGUAACUAUUCACGUAAAUUGUUGGAGUAAUAUUAAUCGACUAGGUUGACAAAUUAGGACCUGUUCGAGGCCGCAGUUUAAGGACCUUCGCGAUUUUGAAGUGGUACGUGCAGUAUCCAUCGCGGCGACUGCCAAUUGGACGAAGAUUCGACGGAAUUACAAUGGCAAUGCAAAUAAACCUGGAAUAUAAUCGCGCCACCUUAUCAGCGCGCAGAGAUUCCACGCACGUACGUACGGAGAACAUCCUGAGCCCGAAAUGAGUGAACGAAACGAGCGGAAAGAGACAAGAGAAGAAUCUUUGCAUUUAACUUCAGCAUUUCGCGAUUGAACGAACAGAAGGAGAAAGAGGCGUACAUCUGAAUGGCGUACAUUAAAUCUGCGGUUGACAAACUCUGAGCGAUAGACGGAAUGGAAACAGAAUCGUUAAUCUUCGGACAAUUACGGCCGGUUGAUGGCGGCGCGACUCGAUCCCGCGAUCCACAGUCCUCUCGAUCCACCCGCCACGAAGAGGGAACGUCCAGUUCGCUCGAAGGCCGACACUGCUCGCGGGCUAAUAUCAUGGUUGAGCGACAACCGGCUAAUUCUUGCUUGGGGCCAAUUCCGGCCGCGUCCUUGGGUGUGCUUUUGCCGGUUUAAUAAUGCAGUGCGCCACUGUGUCAGUGUGCCAAUUCCUCCCUGGGCAGCCGUGGCAUGGCGACAAGUCGCCGCGAUGCAGUCUUUCCGCCUGAAACUUUCAUCGCCAGCCGACAUCCCUUAUUUAGUCGCGACGGUGACAGGACUUCGAAUAAGAGUACAGGAUUUCAGGCAGCUGAAUCUUGGGAGUGUCGGGACAUUUGCGAGCCUCGCAAAAUCGGAUCGCGGCGAGCCGAGUAAAAUGGAGGGGGGAGGUGGGGCGACGGAUAAAGAGAUAUCAACGCGGAUUUACUUGGUAUAUCCCGCCAGCAGCGGGAAACGCUGCUCGCAGCUCUCGAUCCGGUCGUCUCAAGGAUGGAAGGAUCCUCCGCAGAUAUUCACCUUCGAAUCCUGAAGAAACGAACGAGCCGGCGCAGCGCCGAACUCGAUCGCCAUAAUUUACGACGUCGAUGUACCGAGAGAACGUUAUCAUGCGAUUCUGAUCAGCGGCAGGAGACUUCGACCCCGCGAUACAAAAAACCAUUCCGAGAUCUCUCGUCGAGGUCGUUACUCGAACUCGCCGAGUAAUGAGGGACUAUCGAAACCGAAGACAAAGUCGCCCAAGACUCGUUGCGCGUGUUUUCUGCGCUGAUCAUUCAUUAGUUAACGGCGCGAUUCGACGGGAACCGCGAGCAAGGGAGCCGCCGGAAAACGAUGCCGCAUUCCCGUGGAAUUCGUUCGAUUGACCAGACUCGCGUUUCUUUGCUCGUUCGCUUCUUUCUUGCAGCCGCUUUCAUUUAGUGUCUUGAUAUCAACGUCUAUGUAACAACGCGAUGACCUCAUCGCGGAAGUUUGCGGAGGUGUGACGCGUUCAACGAAUAUGCAAAUUGUACGCUGGAAGCAUGGAACGUUUACAACAUAUACAGAAAUGCACGCUACGGCGCGGAAGACUUUUUUCAUAUUUUUACGGUAGGUACAGGGUCCCGCGAAACUGAUCACGCACUAUUUAGAACGGGAAAACUUGAUCAAAGUUGUAGAUCUUUGAAAUGUUAGAGACGCCAGUUCACUAGACAACGUCGACAAAUUUCUUUUUAAAAGCUUCAAUCACUUGGAAAAUAAUCACGUUUUUUAAAACUAUUUUUA